GAAGAAAGAGGGAGGAGGGAGGAAAAUAGGAAAGUUGAGCGGGAAGGUUUCUUCGGGGGUAAAAGAGAGGAGAACGGGUGAGUAAAAGGUGGGUGAACUGUGUUAAGCUCUGGGAUAAGCCUGGGAAACUGGGUUUAAUACCGGAUAUGACCUUUCCUCGCAUGGGGUUUGGUGGAAAGUUUUUUCGGCUGGGGAUGGGCCCGCGGCCUAUCAGCUUGUUGGUGGGGUGAUGGCCUACCAAGGCGACGCCGGGUAGCCGCCCUGAGAGGGCGACCGGCCACACUGGGACUGAGACACGGCCCAGACUCAUACGGGAGGCAGAAGUGGGGAAUAUUGAGCAAUGGGCGGAAGCCUGACGCAGCGACGCCUCAUGGUCUCUUCCCUCCUUCGGUUUGUAAACCUCUUUUAACCCCGACGAAUUUGGACGGUAGGGGUGGAAGAAGCACCAACCCACUACGUU
rnacentral:rRNA from 1 species